GACGAACGCUGGCGGCGUGCUUAACACAUGCAAGUCGAGCGGUAAGGCCCUUCGGGGUACACGAGCGGCGAACGGGUGAGUAACACGUGAGUAAUCUGCCCAUCACUUCGGGAUAACUCCGGGAAACCGGUGCUAAUACCGAAUAUGACCACUUCAGGCAUCUGAUGGUGGUGGAAAGUUCCGGCGGUGAUGGAUGAGCUCGCGGCCUAUCAGCUUGUUGGUGGGGUAGUGGCCUACCAAGGCUUCGACGGGUAGCCGGCCUGAGAGGGUGACCGGCCACACUGGGACUGAGACACGGCCCAGACUCCUACGGGAGGCAGCAGUGGGGAAUAUUGGACAAUGGGCGAAAGCCUGAUCCAGCAACGCCGCGUGAGGGAUGACGGCCUUCGGGUUGUAAACCUCUUUCAGCAGGGACGAAGCGAAAGUCACGGUACCUGCAGAAGAAGCACCGGCCAACUACGUG
rnacentral:rRNA from 1 species